rnacentral:tRNA from 1 species
GUGGGGAUGUGGCUCAAGUGGUAUCGUGCUCGCCUGGCACGCGCGAGACACUGGGUUCAAUCCUCAGCACCACA